AGUACUAGAUUGAAAUAUUAAAUGACCCCCUCGUAAGCUCUUUCCAUGUUCAUGUUAUAAAUACGAGACUGAGACUUGAAUAGUAAAGCCAGGUAUGCUUGCAUGAAUAAACAAUUUUGUGCUUGCUAAUAAUUUAAAGGGAAAUCCAACCAUGAGAAUUGAGAUGAAGUGGCUUAAUUUCAGCAAAUGCAGAAAAAUUAAGCAAAUACCUUUCAUGUUUCUUCCCGGUUUUACCAGUAGAAUAGCCGGCUGAGAGGACCAUCACUAGCACUCCCAGUGGCUGAUGUCUAAGUAGGAGUUUGACGUGGAGAGCUUUUAGCAUGUUGUUGAGUUUACCAGUAGAAUAGACAGCUGGGAUAUGCAAGAGAUGAGGGACCACUAGCACCCCCAGUGGUUGAUGUCCAUGUAGGAGUUUGUGCAGCUGAUGUGGAGAGCUUUUAGCAAAUUGACGAGCAUCUUCACCCUCUGCCCUUGAACUGAUUACGUUUCCAAUACCACGGUUUGGAGGUCAGACCAAACAACUGACAGACCGACCGACUGAAUAGCUAAGUCCCCUCAGUGAUCAAAGG